UCAUUAAAGAGUUCUAUAACUCCCAAACCCAUGUGAACAUACCUAACGUUGCCUCGGCAGGUCGCACCUACCUUGUAGCACCCUACCCUGUAGGGCCUACCCGGGAGGUGCGGGUAAGCCUGCCGGCGGCCCACCAAACUCUGUUUGAUAUUGAAUUCUGAACCUAUAACUAAAUAAGUUAAAACUUUCAACAACGGAUCUCUUGGUUCUGGCAUCGAUGAAGAACGCAGCGAAAUGCGAUAAGUAAUGUGAAUUGCAGAAUUCAGUGAAUCAUCGAAUCUUUGAACGCAUAUUGCGCCCAUUAGUAUUCUAGUGGGCAGGACCGUUCGAGCGUCAUUUCAACCCUUAAGCCUUCGUUGCUUAGUGUUGGGAGCCUACGGCAACGUAGCUCCUCAAAGUUAGUGGCGGAGUUGGUUCACACUCUAGACGUAGUAAUUUUUUAUCUCGCCUAUUAGUUGGACUAAUCCCCUGCCGUAAAACCCCCAAUUUAUCAAGGUUGACCUCGAAUCGGUUCAGACAAACUCGCUAAAUUGAAGCAUCUUAGUCAGCGAAGGAAAAGAAACCAACAGGGAUUGCCCUAGUAACGGCGAGUGAAGCGGCAACAGCUCAAAUUUGAAAUCUGG
rnacentral:rRNA from 1 species